rnacentral:tRNA from 1 species
AUAAAAAUAAGUUAAUUCAAACUAUUUAAUUUACAAUUAAAAUAUAUAUAAAUAUAUUUUUUAUA